GACGAACGCUGGCGGCGUGCUUAACACAUGCAAGUCGAGCGGUAAGGCCCUUUCGGGGUACGACGAGCGGCGAACGGGUAGGAGUAACACGUGGGUGGACCUCGCCUCCAGCUCUGGGAGUAAGCCUGGGAAACCGGGCGUAAUACUGGAUAUGACUCCAUGACGCAUGUUGUGGGGUGGAAAGCCUUGUGCGGCUGAGGA
rnacentral:rRNA from 1 species